UGAGUUGAGUAGAUGGUCGCGUUCCAUUAGGAAUGAGGAAAGUCCGGACUCCGCAGGGCAGGAUGCUGGGUAAUCCCCAGGAGCGGUAACGCUAUGGAAAGUGCAACAGAAAGUAGACUACAACGGUAAUCCGUUGUACAGGUGAAACGGUGCGGUAAAAGCGCACCAGACCAUAAGGUGACUUGUGGUGCUGGUAAACCCCAUCUGGAGCAAGGUAAAACGGAGAUAUUUAAAGGUGUGCCCGUUUCGUCUCCGGGUAACCGCUUGAGGUUAAUGGUAACAUUGAUCCCAGAUGAAUGAUCAUCAUAUACAGAAUCCGGCUUAUUCUCAACUCAAGCU
rnacentral:RNase_P_RNA from 1 species